GGUCAGUGAUGAAUAGUAAAAGGUCUGAUUACCUCGAGAUGACUGCUCGCCCUGCCAAUUCCCAGCUGCCUCUUGGCCGUCAGGCUCCAGUUGUGCCAUGGCUAAGCAGAAGGCUGCUGACAGCAUGGGACGCCCGCGUGCGUGUGUGCAUUUGCUGGAAUUUCAGUGAAUGCUCUGCUGUGGUUGGUGUCCAACAGUGGGGUCGGCAAGGAAUGAGGGCUGCUGGGAGCUCAUCUCCUGUGGGUCUGAUCUGAAACUUGCAAACUGAGGCC